rnacentral:rRNA from 1 species
AACGCGCGGUUAAGGUGCCAAAGUCGACGCUCAUCAGACCCCACAAAAGGUGUUGGUUGCUCUAGACAGCAGGACGGUGGCCAUGGAAGUUGGAAUCCGCUAAGGAGUGUGUAACAACUCACCUGCCGAAGCAACUAGCCCUGAAAAUGGAUGGCGCUCAAGCGUCGCACCUAUAACGUGCCGUCGGAGCAGAUGCGAAGCUCCGACG